rnacentral:rRNA from 1 species
GACAGAGGGUGCUAGCGUUGUUCGGAAUUACUGGGCGUAAAGCGCACGUAGGCGGACUCUUAAGUCGGUGGUGAAAUCCUGGAGCUCAACUCCAGAACUGCCUUCGAUACUGGGAGUCUCGAGUCCGAGAGAGGUGAGUGGAACUGCGAGUGUAGAGGUGAAAUUCGUAGAUAUUCGCAAGAACACCAGUGGCGAAGGCGGCUCACUGGCUCGGUACUGACGCUGAGGUGCGAAACGUGGGGAGCAAACGGGAU